rnacentral:rRNA from 1 species
AAGCGGGCCACUUAUACUUGACCACUAGGGCAAGUGCCAUGCCUAGUGAGUAGGAGGGCGUGGAGGUCGUGGCGCAGCCUAGGGCGUGAGCCUGGGUGAAACGGCCUCUAGUGCAGAUCUUGGUGGUAGUAGCAAAUAUUCAAAUGAGAACUUUGAAGACUGAAGUGGAGAAAGGUUCCAUGUGAACAGCAAUUGGACAUGGGUUAGCCGAUCCUAAGAGAUAGGAGAAUUCCGUUUGAAAGUGGGCUUUCCUCGGAGAGCCCCGCCUAUCGAAAGGGAAUCAGGUUAAUAUUCCUGAGCCGGGACGUGGAUACUGUAUGGUAACAUAACCAAACUCGGAGACGCCAGCGGCAGCCUCGGGAAGAGUUCUCUUUUCUUUUUAACAGCUCGGUCCAUCCCUGGAAUCGGAUUACCCGGCGAUAGGGUGGGACGACUGGCAAAGCACCGUAACCUCUGCGGUGUCCGAUGCGCUGUCGACGGCCCUUGAAAAUCCGAGGGCGAGAUUUAUUCGCACCCCC